GAAAAGUAGCCAGUGCUUGCUCUUUGGAAGCGACAUCAAAUAAAGGACAAUAAAAAGAGGGUGCUUCAGGCUUUGGAAGUCUUUAAAGACACAUCGCUGUGAUCUUUGUAUCACUGCUGCAGAAAAGAGGACAGCAUUUCAUAUUUCUGGCAUUACUAAUGAUAACACAGCAACUGCAAGAAAGCAUGGAUUUCUGGGGGUAGCAUCAGGGAACAGGACUCCUGCUGCGCUCACCAGCUCCCUGCUCUGCACAGCUGCCUUCUCAGCUGGGGGUUUGAAAUCAGCACUGUGAGAAAACACAGAAAUGACCGUGAUGCAUCUUCCUCACCAUGAGAAAAAGGCAACAACUAUUUAUUGAAUGACUGCAUUGUACUAGUCAGUGUUGGAGAUACUUGAGAUACAGCAGCAAACAAGACACCAGAGCCUCUAUCAUGGAACUUAUUAGAUUCUAGCAAGAAUUGAAGAUGAGGAGACAGCAUAAUCCUUCACAUUUGUUUUGAGAAAGAGAAAUGGG